rnacentral:rRNA from 1 species
UACGUAGGGGGCAAGCGUUGUCCGGAAUCAUUGGGCGUAAAGCGCGUGUAGGCGGUCCGGUAAGUCCGCUGUGAAAGUCGGGGGGCUCAACCCUCGGAUGCCGGUGGAUACUGUCGGGCUUGAGUACGGAAGAGGCGAGUGGAAUUCUUGGUGUAGCGGUGAAAUGCGUAGAUAUCUGGAGGAACACCAAUGGCGAAGGCAGCUCGCUGGGGACGGUACUGACGCUGAGACGCGAAAGCGUGGGGAGCAAACAGG